rnacentral:rRNA from 1 species
ACUCAAAUGAAUAGACGGGGACUCGCACAAGCGGUGGAUUAUGCGGCUUAAUUCGUCGACAAACGAAGAACCUUACCAAGGUUAGAAAUCCAGCUGCAUCCUUGAUGAAAGUCGAGGAGCCUUCGAGGGUGCUGGACAGGUGAUGCAUGGUCGUCGUCAGUUCGUGGUUUGAACUGUUCCCUUCAGUGGGGUAACGAACGCAACCCCUGUUGCCUGUUGCCUAUAUGGUCAGGCGAGACUGCUCCCUCACGGGAGAGGAAGGUAGGGAUGACGCCAGAUCAGCAUGUCCCUCUGAUACCUUGGGCUGCACGCAUAAUACAAUGGGCGGUACAGCGGGAAGCAAUAUCGCAAGAUGGAGCAAAUCCCCCAAAACCGCCCCCAGUACGGAUUGAGGUCUGCAACCGACCUCAUGAAGCCGGAAUCGCUAGUAAUCCCGGGUCAGCCAAACCGGGGUGAAUACGUUCUCGAGUCUUGUACACACCGCCCGU